GUCUCUCCACACCUCUGUCUCCCCCUCCUCUCUCUCCCCUCUAUAUUUCCCUUUCUCCCUCCCAUUUUCUCUCUCUUCCUUUUUUUCUCAUACACUACUCCCUCCCUCCCACGGUUGUAUCUUUAUUGAGGCCUCUCGACCAUGGACCGCCACACAGCAAUAAUGCAAUCAGAGGGGUUGAUUGUGGGGCUAAAGUGCGCGUGAAAGUGGGAGAUAUUGCGCUCACAAAUAAUCUGUCCUGUUAUCACAGACAGCUCAUGCUUUAAUGCGUAAGCCAUUGGUGAGCAGCGGUGGCGUCGGCUAACAAGCCUUGGUGAUAGGAACAAGGGAUGGGGGAGUUACUCCCAUACAGUAUCAUAAUGUAUAACGCUCCGAGAACUUUGAGAAAAGUGCUGUGUGUGUGUGUGUGUGUGUGUGUGUGUGUGUGUGUGUGUGUGUGUGUGUGUGUGUGUGUGUGUGUGUGUGUGUGUGUGUGUGUGUGUGUGUGAGAGUCUGUGUUUGUUAUCAGUGGGAGUGGAGUAGGACCUGUGCUUGGCUGCUGUGAGCGAGGAAGCUGAGGCUGAGAGCAAGAGAGAGCAAGCGAGAGAGAGAGAGAGAGAGAGAGAGAGAGAGAGAGAGAGGGGGAUCAAAGCAGGGACUGAAAGGAGAGGAGAACUGAGAGAUCCUUCAAGCACAGAGAAUAUUCAGGGAGGAGAGGACAGAGGGAUGAGAAGAGAAGGGGUUUUGGAGCCUCUCCAGAUACAGACAUCACCCACCUCCCCUCUCACAGUAGCGCUAAGGAACACACACACACACACCCACACCCCAGCACCAGUAGAGGAAAGAGCUGAAGGAGCCUGGGAGCAAGGAAAAUGGCCAGAGACCAGACCAGGCAGAGCGCUCUCUCUCUCGCGCCCUCUAAAUGAAGCCUGGUGGGAGGCCCUGGACGGGGGUCCUGUCUCUCUCUCUCUAGUACCCGUCCUCUUCUACCUGGGCCAAGACCAUCCUUAUCAGGCAUGGGCCUCAGGAUUACACCCCCAGAGCAUUAACCUCCCUCCUGGAGAAAUGUGA
rnacentral:lncRNA from 8 species